rnacentral:rRNA from 1 species
UACGUAGGGUGCAAGCGUUGUCCGGAAUUAUUGGGCGUAAAGAGCUCGUAGGCGGUUUGUCGCGUCGAAUGUGAAAACCCGGGGCUCAAUCCCGGGCCUGCAUUCGAUACGGGCAGACUAGAGUUCGGUAGGGGAGUCUGGAAUUCCUGGUGUAGCGGUGAAAUGCGCAGAUAUCAGGAGGAACACCGGUGGCGAAGGCGGGACUCUGGGCCGAUACUGACGCUGAGGAGCGAAAGCGUGGGGAGCAAACAGG